rnacentral:rRNA from 1 species
UACGUAGGGUGCGAGCGUUGUCCGGAAUUACUGGGCGUAAAGAGCUCGUAGGCGGUUUGUCACGUCGUCUGUGAAAUCCUCCAGCUUAACUGGGGGCGUGCAGGCGAUACGGGCAGACUUGAGUACUACAGGGGAGACUGGAAUUCCUGGUGUAGCGGUGAAAUGCGCAGAUAUCAGGAGGAACACCGGUGGCGAAGGCGGGUCUCUGGGUAGUAACUGACGCUGAGGAGCGAAAGCAUGGGUAGCGAACAGGAUUAGAUACCCUGGUA